rnacentral:misc_RNA from 1 species
AACAUUAUUUGCUCAUCUUUGGAGGGAUGAGGAGAAAAAAGUCAGUUUUCAGCAUCCACAAUAAGAGCAACACAUAAUUGAUCACACCUUUUUAUUUUUUUCAACUUUUUAUUUGGUGCCACAGUCAUCAAAAUAAAGUUGAAAUGAAAUCCACCACACCACAAAAUUGGAGUCAACAAGAGUUGAUUAAUUUCAAUUCAAGUUCUUGGAUAUAUUAUAUUUAACUUCACCUUAACACAAGUUUAAGAAAAAAAAUCAAGGAUUUUAUAAAUCUAGAAACUAGGGUUCCAUUCAAAGGCUACAUUUUCUUGUAGUUUCUGUUUUUCAUUAUGAUUUAGGUGAAUUAUGAUGUUUUUGUGGCUACAAGUCAUUAUUAAGCCUACUUAU